rnacentral:rRNA from 1 species
GUGGAUUAGAUACCCUGGUAGUCCACGCCGUAAACGUUGAAUACUCGAUCUUAGCGAUACACAGUUAGGAUCCAAGCGCAAGCGUUAAGUAUUCCACCUGGGAAGUACGAUCGCAAGAUUGAAACUCAAAGGAAUUGACGGGGGCCCGCACAAGCGGAGGAGCAUGUGGUUUAAUUCGAUGAUACGCGAGGAACCUUACCUGGGCUUGAAUGUGAGUGACCGAUGCCGAAAGGUGUCUUCCCUUCGGGGCACAAAACAAGGUGCUGCACGGCCGUCGACAACU